UCAAGGAUGACAAUUCUGAAUUGGAGAACC
rnacentral:piRNA from 1 species